rnacentral:rRNA from 1 species
UACGUAGGGGGCAAGCGUUGUCCGGAUUUAUUGGGCGUAAAGAGCGUGUAGGCGGCCAAGCAGGUCCGCUGUGAAAACUCGAGGCUCAACCUCGAGACGUCGGUGGAAACCGUUUGGCUAGAGUCCGGAAGAGGAGAGUGGAAUUCCCGGUGUAGCGGUGAAAUGCGCAGAUAUCGGGAAGAACACCAGUGGCGAAGGCGGCUCACUGGCCCGGUACUGACGCUGAGGUGCGAAAGCGUGGGGAGCAAACAGG